rnacentral:rRNA from 1 species
AUUGAACGCUGGCGGCAUGCCUUACACAUGCAAGUCGAACGGUAACGCGGGGCAACCUGGCGACGAGUGGCGAACGGGUGAGUAAUGCAUCGGAACGUGCCUGGUAGUGGGGGAUAACUGCUCGAAAGAGCAGCUAAUACCGCAUACGACCUGAGGGUGAAAGGGGGGGAUCGCAAGACCUCUCGCUAUCAGAGCGGCCGAUGUCGGAUUAGCUAGUUGGUGGGGUAAAAGCCCACCAAGGCGACGAUCCGUAGCUGGUCUGAGAGGACGACCAGCCACACUGGGACUGAGACACGGCCCAGACUCCUACGGGAGGCAGCAGUGGGGAAUUUUGGACAAUGGACGCAAGUCUGAUCCAGCCAUGCCGCGUGCGGGAAGAAGGCCUUCGGGUUGUAAACCGCUUUUGUCAGGGAAGAAAUCUUCUGGACUAAUACUCUGGGAGGAUGACGGUACCUGAAGAAUAAGCACCGGCUAACUACGUGCCAGCCGCCGCCGUAAUAC